rnacentral:rRNA from 1 species
UACGAAGGGGGCUAGCGUUGCUCGGAAUCACUGGGCGUAAAGCGCACGUAGGCGGCUUCUUAAGUCAGGGGUGAAAUCCUGGAGCUCAACUCCAGAACUGCCUUUGAUACUGAGGAGCUUGAGUCCGGGAGAGGUGAGUGGAACUGCGAGUGUAGAGGUGAAAUUCGUAGAUAUUCGCAAGAACACCAGUGGCGGAGGCGGCUCACUGGCCCGGUACUGACGCUGAGGUGCGAAAGCGUGGGGAGCAAACAGG